UACGUAGGGAGCAAGCGUUGUCCGGAAUCAUUGGGCGUAAAGCGCGUGUAGGCGGUUACAUAAGUCUGUUGUGAAAGUCGGAGGCUCAACCUUCGAAAGCCGAUGGAUACUGUGUGACUUGAGUACGGAAGAGGAGAGUGGAAUUCCUGGUGUAGCGGUGAAAUGCGCAGAUAUCAGGAGGAACACCAACGGCGAAGGCAGCUCUCUGGGACGUUACUGACGCUGAGACGCGAAAGCGUGGGGAGCAAACGGG
rnacentral:rRNA from 1 species